UCGCUAUGAUGAAGAUUUACGUUUGUGUACCAAAGGCGGGCUCUUCGGAGCCGUCGGUGACGGCAGCACAACCCUCUAAGAAGUUCUGAGCGG
rnacentral:snoRNA from 1 species